GAUGAACGCUGGCGGCGUGCCUAAUACAUGCAAGUCGAGCGAAUGAAGAGGAGCUUGCUCCUCUGAUUUAGCGGCGGACGGGUGAGUAACACGUGGGUAAUCUGCCUGUAAGACGGGGAUAACUCCGGGAAACCGGGCCUAAUACCGGAUAAUAAGAAGAAACGCAUGUUUCUUUUUUGAAAGUCGGUUUCGGCUGACACUUACAGAUGAGCCCGCGGCGCAUUAGCUUGUUGGUGAGGUAACGGCUCACAAAGGCGACGAUGCGUAGCCGACCUGAGAGGGUGAUCGGCCACACUGGGACUGAGACACGGCCCAGACUCCUACGGGAGGCAGCAGUAGGGAAUCUUCGGCAAUGGGCGAAAGCCUGACCGAGCAACGCCGCGUGAGCGAUGAAGGCCUUCGGGUCGUAAAGCUCUGUUGUUAGAGAAGAACAAGUACGAGAGUAACUGCUCGUACCUUGACGGUACCUAACCAGAAAGCCACGGCUAACUACGUGCCAGCCGCCGCCGUAA
rnacentral:rRNA from 1 species